rnacentral:rRNA from 1 species
UACGUAGGGUGCAAGCGUUGUCCGGAAUUAUUGGGCGUAAAGAGCUCGUAGGCGGCUCAGAAAGUCGGGUGUGAAACCUCCAGGCUCAACCUGGAGACGCCACCUGAUACUGCUGUGGCUAGAGUCCGGUAGGGGAACACGGAAUACCCGGUGUAGCGGUGAAAUGCUUAGAUAUCGGGUGGAACACCAGUGGCGAAGGCGUUGUUCUGGGCCGGAACUGACGCUGAGGAGCGAAAGCGUGGGUAGCAAACAGG